UCGGGAAUUUUGGGUAAUGGGUGAGAGCCUGAUCCAGCCAUGCCGCGUGCAGGAAGAAGGCGUUAUGCGUUGUAAACUGCUUUUGCCAGGGGAUAAAAAGACCGUGCGCGGUUAAUUGAAGGUACCUGGUGAAUAAGCCACGGCUAACUACGUGCCAGCAGCCGCGGUAAUACGUAGGUGGCAAGCGUUGUCCGGAUUUAUUGGGUUUAAAGGGUGCGUAGGUGGCCCUGUAAGUCAGUGGUGAAAUAUCUCAGCUUAACUGAGAGGGUGCCAUUGAUACUGAUGUGCUAGAGUGCAGAAAGGGCAACUGGAAUUCUUGGUGUAGCGGUGAAAUGCGUAGAUAUCAAGAGGAACACCUGAGGCGAAGGCGAGUUGCUAGGCUGACACUGACGCUGAGGUACGAAAGCUAGGGGAGCGAACGGGAUUAGAUACCCCGGUAGUCCCUGAGCGGGCUGGCAAGGCGCAU
rnacentral:rRNA from 1 species